rfam:Populus trichocarpa scaffold_1_contig_528, whole genome shotgun sequence.
UAAUCUUUUCAGGGUAAAUCCUCAUUUAGUUGUAUCAGACUCACACAUGAAUGCUUAAAAUCACUCGUUAUCCCAAGUCCAACUAUAUUAUUGACACUCAUAAAUAUAUUAAAAGAAAAAAUUAAUAAAAUUAUAGU